rnacentral:rRNA from 1 species
CAGUUCGGAUUGUAAUCUGCAACCCGACUACAUGAAGCUGGAAUCGCUAGUAAUCGCGGAUCAGAAUGCCGCGGUGAAUACGUUCCCGGGUCUUGUACACACCGCCCGUCACACCAUGGGAGUCGGAAAUGCCCGAAGUCAGUGACCCAACCGUAAGGAGGGAGCUGCCGAAGGUGGAGCCGGUAACUGGGGUGAAGUCGUAACAAGGUAAC